GGUUAACGGGUCUCUUUUUUUCCUCCUUCGUACAUAUUUUAGUAAAUAAAAAAUCUAAUAGAGGGCUUUUCGUCCAUCUAUCUUCUCCUCUCUCCCUCUCUCCUCUAAUCUCCUAAUGAAUUUGGUCUCCUUCGACAAAUCAUCUGUAAAGGACGACAAAUCUGCUUCAAUUCGAUUCCUACUUCUUAUUAUAUUUGUUUCUGUGCAUCUUCCCUCCUCAAUUAUCGCCGGAACUUGAGGGAGCUUAGGGUUUAUCCGAUUCCAAACAAAGCGUUAUCCGGCUAGAUUCCUUCCGAAAAGGGAGCGUGGUGGAAUUUGAGGAGGUUAAGCUUCCGCGGAGUAAUAUCUCCAGGAGGAUCCGUUGAUAAGAAACUUUAUUUCGUUUUCGUUUUCGUUUUGUUAAUUUAAUUUGUCGUUUAAUCUUCUCACUGGGAAAGUUCCAUGUAGAUUAAUUGGUGUCGGGAAAAUCAGGGUUGUUGAUUUGUUUGAUAAACAACUAUCUGGUAAGAUAAAUGCGGGUUAUGAUUGUUUAAUUUUUUUUGUCUUCUUUCAUCUUCUUCGCAGCCUCGGUGUUGUCUUGCUUUGAAGGCCUUCGAUUCCAAAUUCUUUCAGUACGCACCGAUCUAUGAAUAUCUAGGCUAGUUGGUUUCGUUACCUGCAGACACAAUUUCAAGUUACUACUGUUGACUACACUCCAAUCCCUUUAGAGCACGAGGAAGGUUCAAAGCCAUCUGCUCUAUGAUUCUAACUAUUCAAUUCAGGCAUCAACGUGGAGCAUAUUAUACUAAUGAAGAUGCAAGGUUUAAUUGUUUAAAUGAGUGCAUAGAGUUAGAUAUUUCUUGUACUUGGUACAAACUUUAGAUGUAAUGUAGUUUGUUUUUUCUUUUUUUUCAUGAUCGAUCAUGAACUAUUUGUUUAUAGUUUCUAAUUAUCAUAGGUUUAUGAUAUGUAUUAUUGUGGAAUUAUUAUUCAAUUAUUGUUUAGCAGAACUAA